CCCUAUAGCCCCCAUAUAUGCCAGAGAAGAGGCAGGGCCGGCUGGGAGGGCUGGGCUCACUGAGAGGGGCUUUGUGUCCAUCAAUAUCCAUCAACAUCAUAAGCCAGCUUUAGAAUACAUGGAGCAUGUGAGCUGAUAUACUGUGGAACAAAGGUGACACGGAGCCUUCUGAGAAUGACCGCACCUGGAGUGCUGCAUGGGUGAUGUGAUAAAAUGAAGACACCAGAGGCUCUCAUACCCCUGUGCUCCACCCAACACUGAGAUGGUUGCAGCACUGCGCUCCUGAUCCCACAUCUGCUCUAAAUCCCUUGAAAGCAGAAGCCACUGCCUCCUCAUCUACCUGUGAGCUCUCACAGAAAGUUCCACUGAAGAGUGCUGAGUGGGUGAACGGAUGAGCUGCAGGAGGGCCCUGGGCAGAAGGGAAUCACACAGGGACGUUCACAUUUUCAUAAAGGAACAAGAGAAAGGACCCAGCCAAUAGGGUGUGGGGCUUCAUUGUUACUUGUUUUUUAAUUAGGAUAGGAUGCGACAAGCCUAAGGAGGAGGCGCGUGCUUCUGUGAAUGUCAGACAUUAUAUCAAUUAUGCUGAAGAACUGCAUUUUUCCUCCCACAGUGAAGCCUGAGGGUUAGAAGGCGGUGAGAUAGCACCUGCUGCUUAUUCCUGCUCUGACAGACCAAACAGAAUGCCAGCAACAUAGUCCUGCACGGGGAAGAUCUGCCUUGGGCAGGGACUGCUGGGAAACCUGACCAUGUGUUAGGAUGCACAACUUUCCCAGGGUUUCAUUCAUCAGACACUGGCUGCGUAGCUCCUCCAUGCCAGGGGCAAGACUCAAGUGUGGAAUAGUAUGGUGAAUCAGAUGGGGCUCUCUGUGAACAGAGCUGGAGAGGCCCUAGAGAAACAGAGGGGUCAUGAAGAAGCCAUGCAUGGGCUGCGGAUGGAGGAACAUUGGUAUGCCUGGCGUUUGAGAAGUACUUCUCAGAGCAGAGGACUCCUGAACUGUGACUAGUCUCUAAGUGCUUGUGAGACAGCAAUAGGAGCAGGCAAUGGCUAGGGGAGUCUGGUACUCCAUCAAUACACAACUCAGACAUUAGCAUGCUUUUAAAAAUAUUAAAAUCCUCUGUACUUUUGGGCAAACUGAUAUUGUCUCAAGCUUCAUAAGAUACUUUUCCACCUAACCUUGGCAGUUUUUCCUUUUGCCCCAUGACUCUCUCAUGCCUCAUAACCUGAAAGGGUAAUGUAAUGUCUGCUCCCUGGGGUUGCUACUGAACCUUGAAUAACAGGGCAGCACACUCCCUUACUGUGAGCUCAUGGUACACAGGGCACCAGACACUGCAUAGCAUUCCAGGAGCAGGUGUCUCUCAGUGGUACAAGUCAGGUAUGGUGCCCAGAGACGCUCUGGGUCUCUGAGAUGCUGAGACCAAUGGAGGGACCCCGCAGAAAUAGAGUAUGCAGGUCAGGGAAGAUACUGUGCAUCUGGAUUUCAUCCUACAAGCAAAGAGACCUCAGAAGCCUUCUACUUUGGUGUGCCGUGGGAGUUACAUUGUGAAACCAUUAGUAUGAGGGAAGAAAAUGGACUUGGGAAGGCAGCAGGAAAGGAAGGCAGACAGACAAUGUUACUGUCACAAUCUGAACUUUAAGAUACGUAGGAUGCAUGCAAUUUAGGUAAGAAAUUCAAAUCCUUCAGGUGGGUGGUCCAAAGUUCUUAGGUUUGAGGUUAUAUUCUCAUUAAAACCAGAUUUAAGGGAACAAGCUUAUGGGACCAUGCUAAUUUAGGAAUCAAGGACAAGUCUUGGAUUGCCUAGUGAAUGGCCUUCUUUUUUUUCUUGAAGCUUGAUGAAAAAAUAAUUUCUUGAACUUUUCUGUUUUACGUAAACUGUAGAGAAUGCAUGUCCUUUAUUUGACAUUUACAUAAUGCACACAGAAAAACUAAUUCCAACAUACAAAAAUCAGAAAAACCUAGUGUCUCUAAAUGCAUUUCUAUUGUUCCUUUUAGCAGAAAGUAGAAAUGAUCUAACACAUAGGUUCCCCUUUUUGCCUUGUGUAUUGGCUGGUUUUGUGUCAACUUGACACAAGCUGGAGUUAUCAUAGAGAAAGGAGCUUCAGUUGGGGAAAUGUCUCCAUGAGAUCCAGCUGUAAGGCAUUUUCUCAAUUAGUGAUCAAGUGGGAAAGGCCCAUUGUGGGUGGUACCAUCUCUGGGUUGGUAGUGUUGGGUUCUAUAAGCAAGCAAGCUGAGCAAGCCAGGGGAAGCAAGCCAGUAAGUAACAUCCCUCCAUGGCCUCUGCAUUAGCUUCUGCUUUCUGACCUGCUUGAGUUCCAGUCCUGACUUCCUUUGGUGAUGAAAAGCAAGUGGAAGUGUAAGCUGAAUAAAUCCUUUCCUCCCCAACUUGCUUCUUGGUCAUGAUGUUUGUGCAUGAUAGAAACCCUGACUAAGACACCUUGCAAGCAGGAAGCUGGGCCCCAAUUUAGAGCAGAUCUCUUGGUUGUGGAAUCCUGAUCUAACAAGGAGUGCCCUGUUUUCCAUAUGGAACCAGGUGUCUUCCUCCACACUUAUUUAUACUUGUCUUUCAAAACUGUCAGCCAUUUGUAACUUAGAGGACUGUGAGUUGGGUGAAAUCCCCUGGGAUACUCCAGCCACUCAGAGAGCAGACUUGAAAUUUCUGGCAAGACUGUAAAACCCUCAGGGAUGUGAUUAUGGUUUUUUUUCCUCCCCAGGGGAAUUGUGCUGCCUCGAUUUUCCAUGAUUCUUAUUUAACUACAUUGAGACUUAUGUAUCUGGGAUGACCAACAAGGAAUAAUUUGAAUUUCUUCCCUAAUUUGCAUCCUACACAACUGACUACGUGUUUUACAAUGUAUGUGAAAUCUAAAUAUAGAAUCAAGGAGCGUACUGAUAGGCAAGUUCCUAGCUGUGUUCAGCGUUCGUGGAUUCAAGCAGACAGUGCUGUGGGAGUUGAAUAUCAACUUCCUAGGAUAUUUCUGCCUCUUCUGUCAUCCUAAGCACCCUUCCCUAGACUCAUUGUCUUGCCUUACAUGUGUAGCCAGACACCACCAUUUACAUGGCCCAGGAUUCAACCCCUCAACACUGAUGCUGUUAGAGAAUCAGACUGGCAGACCUCUGUGGUCUUGGGAACCAGGAGUACGGGUGACAUCACCAGAAAUUUCUGUCUCAUCCUAGUUGACAACCCAAGAAUUCUCCACCUUUUUAUUAGGAUCAUGUUUUGAUCUUUAGAGCCUACUCCAGUGUCAGUUUGUUUUAAGUGCUCAAAAGCUGCAGCAUGAAUGGGACAAGGGACCACCCAAGCAUCUAUACUCAAUGAGAACCAAUCCCGGAGGCCAAUUCCACUGUGUGUUGACCCUCCACUGUUAAUAUUUUUCUGAGUUCUAAAGAUUUGAUUUUCUUUGGGUGCUCUAAUAGAAUUCAGGUAUGAAUUGCAUCAGGUGGGACACUGUAUUGUUACAGUUGACACCUGAGUUCACAUAUGAGGAAGUUCAGGAUGGACACAGGCUCAGCAUCUGUAUGAUGGAAGUGAGGAUAGAGAGAGAACAGGAUCCAGGAGGGAGGGAAGUAGAGGCAUGGUGAGGAGGGGCUCCUGAGACAGUGUUCUGACUCUAUGAACUGCACAUGGAUGACUCUCUUUACAAAGGCCUUUAGAAUGAAACCCAUAUCUUUAUUUUUACCCAUCUUUUUAAAGAUUUUUGAGGUCCUGGAACAAUAGAAAGCAUAUAGAAACCACAGAUAUCUUGCUCAUUCCGUUUACCUAUUUCUUGGAACUGGUCCUUAACUGUCUCUUCCUCCUGACUGUCUAACACAUGAUUCUAUUGCUUGCUUCCUAUUAUGUGAGACCUCCAGGCCUUGCUUUGUAUUCACAAGGCAAUGCCAUUCCCCUUACCAAGUAUUCACAUAAGCCAAUCUGAACAUUUCCACUUGUCCGUGUGCAGAGCUCCUCUGAUUUUUCUUUGUGCCUACAGUGCCACAUAAAACGACUUGGUGCUUAUUAUCUGCUUCUGAGUUGGGAAAGUUAAGACAUUGUCCUUCAAGGGACAUAGAGACAGACUGAGAGGUAAGAUACUGCCAAUAUAGUAAAAGUAUUCAGACAGUGGGUACUACAGGUCAGAUUGAGGUGGAAAUUUGAGACACUGCUUUGCUAGGAUCUCAUACUCUGUGGUUCCUGUGUACAGCAUUGUUGCUAAGACAGUUUAGCGCAAAUAACUAUGGUUUGUAAAUUUCAGAAGACCUGAAUAUGAGUGGUACCCCUGUCUUUACUAGGCCUGUGGCCCUGGGCAAGUGGCUUAAUUGCUCUGUGCUCUAGUGGUUCCACUGAAGCAAUAGCAGAAGAGUUUGUUGGUGAAAACUAAGACUCAAGCUAAAAAGACAACUAAAAAGCUACAGACAGAUUAAUGUUGACAGCAGCAGCAGCAGCAGCAGUAGCUGCCGCCGCCAUUUGGUAAUGGUUUUGUGUGUGAAUCUGUGGUAUUCUUUGAGGCAUAUUUUCUAACUUGUAACAUAAUUCCUUUUAAUCUAUAUAGUCAAUGACUCUUAUUUAAAAAUCAGUGUAGGGUGGGCAGUGAGAUGCCUUGGAAGGUAACAGGUUUGCUGGGCAAGCUUGAUAACCCAUGUUCCUUCUGGGAAACCCAUGUAAAGAUGAAAGAAAAGAACAGGUUCCCAAAAGUUCUCCUUUGAUCUCCAUAGACAUCUUUGCAAGUGAACACCUGCAUUAUUCUCUCUUUCCUCUCCUCUUUUUUCCUCUUCCUCCUCUUCUUCUCGAUCUUCCCUCCCCCCCUCACACAUACACACCUAAAUAAAAACAUCCCAGGAAUAGGACAACAAGAGAAAACAAACAUUGAUAUUUGUAAUUAACUCCUUAUCAGGACCAGUUAUUCGCACUGGAGAAUGGCAUUAGCCUCUUAAAUGACAAUAAUUAGCCCGUCAUCCACAGGUCACAGCAUAAGAUCAGAAACCAGUCUGGAGUAUAUGCAAGGACAGGCGGUAAGAGACACUGUUAGAGAGAUACAUGGGAUAGUAGUUCACAUAUGAAAAACAAGCCACCCAUGAACUUUUAAAUUAAGCACUGCCUGCAAGUAUUUACAAAGCUUUUAUUAUUGACUGAGUAUACUGUCUCUUCUGUCAGUAAACAUUCAAAAUCCUCCCAGUGUAUUAACACUCAAAUGUAUUCAAAAUCCCCCUUUUCUGUUAUAGAUGCAUUUGGGAUUUGAGACCCUUGAUUUUUUUUUGUGUGGAGGUGAUACUCUAAUGAACUGGGGGGUGGGGUGGGGGACAUUUAAACAAUGUUUGUACAGUGUUCAAAAUGACUGCUCGUUUCAUCUUCAAGCUGAUGUUUCAGACACUGGUCAUGAUGGUGAGGUAGACGCCCACCAAGGAACAUGUCUGCACUCCGAGCACUCUUUUCAAUCAUUCAUGCUUGUACUCACUUUAACAGAAUCCACACGUGAUAAACGUUUUCCUACAAAGUACACAGACAUGACUGACAGUCCUCUUCUGCUGUGUUCUUUGUUGCCACAGUCCAGUGCUAAAGCCAAUAUGUAAAGGGAAACCACGGCUCUGAUGGAUGUCUAAUCCCCUAGCCCGGUACAGGUUAUCUAGAGAAGGCAGGGUCUUAGAAAGCCCUCUCCAGAUGUUGGCUCUGAGAGCUAACUAAGGGGACCAGGAAGCUUGAUGCUCACAGCAGGCUGUGUGUUCCAGUUCCAACGUUUGCUUUGGACCACUUGCAUCCAAAGGAUGGCCUCAUCCCACGAUCUGAGCUGCAUGUCAAAUCAGUUGUAUGUUUGGGGAACUUCUACAGACUAGAUUUGAGAACUUUCAGGGCCCAGCCGGCUAAGAAGUUUGUGGGCAGGGUUCUUACUCUGGUGUCAUCAGUGCCUACUUCAUGCCAAUCAAGCCAAAGCACUCACCUCUUCUACCCCAUUGAUAUCCAUCCAUCUUUCCCCAAGAAUACACUACAUUCAUUAUGCCUCUUCUUCUCUCUGCUCAUAUUCUUCCUCUCCCAGAUCACCAUGCCUGUCCUGUCUCCUCUUGAAGCUUACCAGCAUUCAGAGUUCAGCACCUUACCAUUUUGGACAAAGCCUAUUCAAAUUUGCUUAUUUCAUGGGAUACAACUGAAGUAACUGUUUGUCUUUCUGGUAUAUGUGUGUUUGUGUCUGUGUGUGUGUGUCUGUGUGUGUAAUUUGUUUCAUGUAUGUCUGGUUCCCUAAUAAGAAAGCUUAUUGAGGCUGACUUUUGUAUCCUCUAUUACUAUGGACACAUUACUAAAUGUCCAACAGGCUCAGAGUUAAGCAUCAAAGUGUGUCUCU